rnacentral:rRNA from 1 species
GCCCUUAGAGUUUGAUCAUGGCUCAGAUUGAACGCUGGCGGCAUGCCUAACACAUGCAAGUCGAACGGUAACAGGAACUAGCUUGCUAGUUUGCUGACGAGUGGCGGACGGGUGAGUAACACGUAGGAAUCUGCCCUGUAGCGGGGGAUAGCCCGGGGAAACUCGGAUUAAUACCGCAUACGCUCUACGGAGGAAAGAGGGCCUCUUCUUGAAAGCUCUCACUGCAGGAUGAGCCUACGUCCGAUUAGCUAGUUGGUAGGGUAAAGGCCUACCAAGGCGACGAUCGGUAGCUGGUCUGAGAGGAUGAUCAGCCACACUGGGACUGAGACACGGCCCAGACUCCUACGGGAGGCAGCAGUGGGGAAUAUUGGACAAUGGGCGCAAGCCUGAUCCAGCAAUGCCGCGUGUGUGAAGAAGGCCUGCGGGUUGUAAAGCACUUUUAUUGGGGAAGAAACGGCCUGGGCUAAUACCCCAUGGCAAUUGACGGUACCCAAGGAAUAAGCACCGGCUAACUCCGUGCCAGC